GCCGGGUGCGGUGGCGCGCGCCUGUAAUCCAAGCUCCCGGGAGGCUGAGGCUGGAGGAUCGUUUGAGCUCAGGACCUCUGAGCUGCAGCGGACUAUGUCGAUCGGGUGUCCGCACUAAGUUCGGUAUCGAUAUGGUGCUCCUGGGGGAGCCCGGGACCACCAGGUCGUCUAAGGAGGGGUGCACCGGCCCAGGUCGGACACGGAGCAGGUCAAAGCCCCCGUGCCGCUCAGUAGUGGGAUCGCGCCUGUGAAUAGACGCUGUAGUGCAGCCUGAGUAACACAGCGGGACCCAGUCUUUA
rnacentral:SRP_RNA from 1 species